rnacentral:rRNA from 1 species
UACGAAGGGGGCUAGCGUUGUUCGGAAUUACUGGGCGUAAAGCGCGCGCAGGCGGUCUUCCAAGUCAGUGGUGAAAGCCCGGAGCUCAACUCCGGAACUGCCAUUGAAACUGUAAGACUUGAGGAUGAGAGAGGUGAGUGGAAUUCCCAGUGUAGAGGUGAAAUUCGUAGAUAUUGGGAAGAACACCGGUGGCGAAGGCGGCUCACUGGCUCAUUACUGACGCUCAGGCGCGACAGCGUGGGGAUCAAAC